GUCUGAGUUCUGUCUGAGAGUUCUGUCUGAGUUCUGUCUGAGUUCUGUCUGAGUUCUGUCUGUUCUGUCUGUGUUAUGUCUGAGUUCUGUCUGAGUUCUGUCUGUGAGUUCUGUCUGAGAGUUCUUGAAGGCAGGAACGGUGUUUUGAAAACUGAAUUCUGCAUCAUUCUAAAAGAUCUGUCUGUGAGUUCUGUCUGAGUUCUGUCUGUGAGAUCUGUCUGAGUUCUGUCUGAGUUCUGUCUUAGUUCUGUCUGAGUUCUGUCUGAGAGUUCUGUCUGUGAGUUCUGUCUGAGAUCUGUCUGUGAGAUCUGUCUGAGAUCUGUCUGAAAUCUGUCUUAGUUCUGUCUGAGUUCUGUCUGAGAGUUCUGUCUGAGUUCUGUCUGUGAGUUCUGUCUGAGUUCUGUCUGUUCUGUCUGUGUUAUGUCUGAGUUCUGUCUGAGUUCUGUCUGUGAGUUCUGUCUGAGAGUUCUUGAAGGCAGGAACGGUGUUUUGAAAACUGAAUUCUGCAUCAUUCUAAAAGAUCUGUCUGUGAGUUCUGUCUGAGUUCUGUCUGAGUUCUGUCUGUGAGAUCUGUCUGAGUUCUGUCUGAGUUCUGUCUUAGUUCUGUCUGAGUUCUGUCUGAGAGUUCUGUCUGUGAGUUCUGUCUGAGUUCUGUCUGAGUUCUGUCUGAGAUCUGUCUGUGAGAUCUGUCUGAGAUCUGUCUGAGUUCUGUCUUAGUUCUGUCUGAGUUCUGUCUGAGAGUUCUGUCUGUGAGUUCUGUCUGAGUUCUGUCUGUUCUGUCUGUGUUAUGUCUGAGUUCUGUCUGUGUUAUGUCUGAGUUCUGUCUGUGUUCUGUCUGUGUUAUGUCUGAGUUCUGUCUGUGUUAUGUCUGUGAGUUCUGUCUGAGUUCUGUCUGAGAUCUGUCUGUGAGUUCUGUCUGAGUUCUGUCUGUGAGUUCUGUCUGAGUUCUGUCUGAGUUCUGUCUUAGUUCUGUCUGAGUUCUGUCUGAGAGAUCUGUCUGAGAGUUCUGUCUGAGUUAUGUCUGAGUUCUGUCUGAGAGUUCUGUCUGUGAGUUCUGUCUGAGUUCUGUCUGAGUUCUGUCUGAGAUCUGUCUGAGAUCUGUCUGAGAUCUGUCUGAGUUAUGUCUGUUCUGUCUGUGAGUUCUGUCUGAGUUCCGUCUGUGAGUUCUGUCUGAGUUCUGUCUGGAAGUUCUGUCUGAGUUCCGUCUGUGAGUUCUGUCUGUGAGUUCUGUCUGAGUUUUGUCUGAGUUCUGUCUGUUCUGUCUGUGAGUUCUGUCUGAGUUCCGUCUGUGAGUUCUGUCUGUGAGUUCUGUCUGAGUUCUGAGAGUUCUGUCUGUGAGUUCUGUCUGAGUUCUGUCUGUGAGUUCUGUCUGUGAGUUCUGUCUGUGAGAUCUGUCUGAGUUCUGUCUGAGAUCUGUCUGAGUUCUGUCUGAGAGUUCUGUCUGAGAGUUCUGUCUGAGUUCUGUCUGAGUUCUGUCUGUGAGAUCUGUCUGUGAGUUCUGUCUCGUAUGGCAGCGGCGGUGGCGGUGGACUGAUACCUUCAUCGUUGGAUACUGCAU
ensembl:lncRNA